rnacentral:rRNA from 1 species
GUAGGUGGCAAGCGUUGUCCGGAAUUAUUGGGCGUAAAGCGCGCGCAGGCGGUCCUUUAAGUCUGAUGUGAAAGCCCACGGCUCAACCGUGGAGGGUCAUUGGAAACUGGGGGACUUGAGUACAGAAGAGGAAAGCGGAAUUCCAAGUGUAGCGGCGAAAUGCGUAGAGAUUUGGAGGAACACCAGUGGCGAAGGCGGCUUUCUGGUCUGUAACUGACGCUGAGGCGCGAAAGCGUGGGGAGCAAACAGGGAUUAGAUACCCUGGUAGUCCACGCCGUAAACGAUGAGUGCUAAGUGUUAGGGGGUUUCCCGCCCCUUAGUGCUGCAGCUAACGCAUUAAGCACUCCGCCUGGGGAUACGGCCGCAAGGCUG